AAAAGAAAAAGAAAAUAAUAAAUAAAAGAAAGGAGACAUCUAUAUCUCCUUGUGACCAUAAUUAACAAGAAGAAUAAAUUCUAAUCCCUCCAGGUAGGCGACACCCUACAUGAAACUCCUUUUUUGUUAUAUUUCUCAACACGUAUCCAGAAUUCGGAAACAUUAUGGAAAAGAGAGGAGUGGGAGGACAAAAAAAUAAAAAGGACAAAGCCAUCAUAGACCUCUCACAAUGCAAACACUUUACUAAAAUAUUGUGAAGGAAGGAUUGGUGAUUAUGUAUUUGCGUCAACACCUCAACCUGUCUGAUGUAGGCGAUGGUAACUUGAUUUCCUACUUUCCUCCUUCCUUUCCUUCUUUCUUUUACCAACUACAAACAUAUAGAAGCACUUAUUUUUGUCUCAUCCCCUUACAAUAGUAGCUUUUUUCCUUUUCUUGUGGAGAUUUAUGAAAACUGUACCAUACUAUUCCACGAGUUCAAACGUCAAUAGUUCAGUAUGCACAACUGCAUCAAUAGUUCAGCAUUCACCAAAUGAUUUCCAAAUUCAAUGUUUCCAAAUUUUAGAAUUAUCAAUCAAACAUCGGCCAAUAAUAGCAUCUAUACAUUAUAGAGUUCAGAAUUUCCCUACUAUCAGAAAUGGAUCUAUCUAAUUUCUUAGAAAACUAAGGCUAGAGUCUGCAAAUUUUAGCCCUUUGUGCUAAAAAGCUGACAACUACUAAUUACUCGCCUACUUUUGCUUGCUCAGCUUUCUUUCCUUCAGUCUCUAAAGCUGCUAAACACAAACCAUAUCAAAAUUCCAUGCUCAAUUGCCUGUUAAUGAAAAUUUCUCUAAAAUUUAUCCAUAACCUAUUGAA
rnacentral:misc_RNA from 1 species